rnacentral:rRNA from 1 species
UGCGUAGGCGGACUAGUAAGUCAGUGGUGAAAUCUUUCGGCUCAACCGAGAAACUGCCAUUGAUACUGUUAGUCUUGAGUUCGAUAGAGGUAGGCGGAAUGUGUAAUGUAGCGGUGAAAUGCUUAGAUAUUACACAGAACACCAAUUGCGUAGGCAGCUUACUAUGCCGACACUGACGCUGAGGCACGAAAGCGUGGGGAGCGAACAGGAUUAGAUACCCUGGUAGUCC